CCCUUCCCCGGACCCCCCCCCCCCCCCCCCCCCCCACCGCAUCCGGCGGCGACGGGCGAUUCAGCCCCGCACCCCUCCCAUCCGCCCCAGACGGCGCCGUCCGGGCCGCCCGGCGCCUCCGCCGCUCCCCUAGCCGGCGCCAUCCAACCGCCCCGCGCAGUGGUAGUGCCCUUCCCCGGCCCCUCCACCCCCGCAUCCGUCGCGCCGCCCCGCUGCAGGGGAUCGUGGUCGCCACCUCUCUCCACGCCUCCCCCUGCACUGCGUCGGCCCAUCUCGGCAUCACCUCGCCACGGCGCCACCCCUGAUCUCCGCGAGCGAGGGCAAGACGUUGUUGCCGUAUUGCCGGGGCCUCGAGCUAUUGGCAGACAGCAGAUUGGUCGAGAAAAAAACGUCUACUGCUGAACAAGCUCCAGCAAAUGUUUCAAAUGAUGCUUCUGCCUUUGAAGGAGGUGACCGUCAGGGUGAAGAAACAAUAUUCUUCUGUGCACUUUCGCUUCAUAACACAGUUCAAGCUGGUGCUGUCAGAUGGACAGCAGCGAUGAAUCAAGGAGCAGCGAGUCUUCUAGUGACAGUCAGGACUUGAAGAAAUUGGCCGAGGCAGCUGCUGUCGGAGUGGGUCGCGAUGAAUACUACUACUAAUACCUCAGCUCUGAGCCUCUGAGGGAGUUGGUAUCUGUUGCUUUGUGGCCUGCAUCAUGAUCCGUAAUUCGUCAUUCUAUUGGUGUAAAGAUUGGACAAUGCAGUCUAUUAUUAUGUGUUCUGAAUUGUUAUUUUAAUGCAUUGGGAGGGCCUCUCGUAAUGUAAUGAAGUGAAAUUAAGUGAUGGGGAUAACCGUUGCAGUUUAUGGACAUGGAUCAAUUCGAUCUGCAGAAUUUUGUUCA